GGGCUCAGAACGAACGCUGGCGGCGUGGAUAAGACAUGCAAGUCGAACGCUCAUAAGCUUGUAGCAAUAUAAGUUUGUGGGAGUGGCGCAAGGGUGCGUAACACGUGGGAAUCUACCGUUAAGUUGGGGAUAACUUGCUGAAAGGCGAGCUAAUACCGAAUGUGACCGAAAGGUCAAAGCUGGGGACCGAAAGGCCUGGCGCUUGACGAUGAGCCCGCGGCCUAUCAGCUAGUUGGUGAGGUAAAGGCUCACCAAGGCUAAGACGGGUAGCUGGUCUGAGAGGACGACCAGCCACACUGGAACUGAGACACGGUCCAGACACCUACGGGUGGCAGCAGUCGAGAAUUUUUCUCAAUGGGCGAAAGCUUGAAGGAGCGACGCCGCGUGGGGGAUGAAGGGCUUCGGUCCGUAAACCCCUGUCAUUUGCGAACAAACCCCGGUUGUGAACAACAGCCGGGCUGAUUGUAGCGAAAGAGAAGGGACGGCUAACUCUGUGCCAGCAGCCGCGGUAAUACAGAGGUCCCGAGCGUUGUUCGGAUUCACUGGGCGUGAAGGGUGCGUAGGUGGCCUGGCAAGUUUGGCGUAAAAUCUCCGGGCUCAACCCAAAAACUGCGUCGAAGACUGUCGGGCUUGAGGAUUGGAGGGGGGAUUGGAAUUCUUGGUGUAGCAGUGAAAUGCGUAGAUAUCAAGAGGAACACCAGUGGCGAAGGCGAAUCCCUGGACAAUACCUGACACUGAGGCACGAAAGCUAGGGGAGCAAACAGGAUUAGAUACCCUGGUAGUCCUAGCUGUAAACGGUGUGUGCUUGCUGUAAGAGGAAUCGACCCCUUUUGUGGCGUAGCUAACGCGAUAAGCACACCGCCUGGGAAGUACGGUCGCAAGAUUAAAACUCAAAGAAAUUGACGGGGGCCUGCACAAGUGGUGGAGUAUGUGGCUUAAUUCGAUGCAACGCGAAGAACCCUACCUGGCCUUGACAUGCAUGUAGUAGGACCGUGAAAGCGGGACGAGGUAGCAAUACCAGCGUGCACAGGUGCUGCAUGGCUGUCGUCAGCUCGUGUCGUGAGAUGUUGGGUUAAGUCCCGCAACGAGCGCAACCCUUGUGUCCUGUUGCCACCCCGGCGAGAGCCGGGAGCACUCUGGACAGACUGCCUCAUUUUAAUGAGGAGGAAGGUGGGGAUGACGUCAAGUCAGUAUGGCCCUUACGGCCAGGGCUGCACACGUACUACAAUGCCCGGUACAAAGGGACGCCAAACCGCAAGGUGGAGCAAAUCUCAGAAAACCGGGCCCAGUUCGGAUUGUCGUCUGCAACUCGACGACAUGAAGUUGGAAUCGCUAGGAAUGGCGCAUCAGCUACGGCGCCGUGAAUACGUUCCCAGGCCUUGUACACACCGCCCGUCACAUCAUGAAAGCCGUUUGUACCCGAAGUCAGCAGGCUAACCGCAGGGAGGCAGCUGCCGAAGGUAUGGAUGGUGAUUGGGAUGAAGUCGUAACAAGGUA
rnacentral:rRNA from 1 species